rnacentral:rRNA from 1 species
GUCGCCAGCCGCCGCGGAAACUUCCAGCUCCAAUAGACGUAAGGGUAUUACCCAGGAGUUGGCUUGCAGCUUAAAAAGCUCGUAGUUGAACUUCAGACACUGGGAAACUCACCGGGUGGUCUGCCUAACGGUAUGUACUAGGUCUGGCUGGGUGUUACCUCUUGGUGAGCCGGCAUGCCUUUCACUGGGUGUGUCGGGGAACCAUGGCCGUUCUUACCUUGAGAAAAUUAGAGUGAUUUCAAAGUCAGGUCUAUGCCGAUAACGAACGAGACAUUAGCAUGGCAUAAUAAAAUAGGACGUGCGGKUCUAUUUUGUUGGUCGCCGUCUUCUUAGAGUCGCCGUAAUGCGUCUAGCAGACGGAUAGUUUGAGGCAAUAGUAUUCAGUUGCUAGAGGUGAUGCCCUUAGAUGUUCUGAGGACGAACUGCUGCGAAACACUGACAGAGCCAGCGAGUUUUUUUCCUUAAUCAAGGCCGGAAGGUCUAGGUAAUCUUGUGAAACUCUGUCGUGCUGGGGAUAGAGCAUUGCAAUUAUUGCUCUUCAACGAGGAAUUCCUAGUAAGCCGACUGAGUCAUCGGCUCGCGACUUAAUUAUACGUCCCUGCCCUUUGCACUCACCGCCCGUCAAUCCC